CCUACGGGAGGCUGCAGUCGAGAAUCAUUCACAAUGGGGGAAACCCUGAUGGUGCGACGCCGCGUGGGGGAAUGAAGUUCUUCGGAUUGUAAACCCCUGUCAUGUGGGAGCAAAUUAAAAAGAUAGUACCACAAGAGGAAGAGACGGCUAACUCUGUGCCAGCAGCCUCGGUAAUACAGAGGUCUCAAGCGUUGUUCGGAAUCACUGGGCGUAAAGCGUGCGUAGGCUGUUUCGUAAGUCGUGUGUGAAAGGCCCGGGCUCAACCCGCGGACGGCAUAUGAUACUGCGAGACUAGAGUAAUGGAGGGGGAACCGGAAUUCUAGGUGUAGCAGUGAAAUGCGUAGAUAUCGAGAGGAACACUCGUGGCGAAGGCGGGUUCCUGGACAUUAACUGACGCUGAGGCACGAAGGCGAGGGGAGCGAAAGGGAUUAGAUACCCGGGUAGUC
rnacentral:rRNA from 1 species